rnacentral:rRNA from 1 species
UACAGGGGGUGCAAACGUUGCUCGGAAUCAUUGGGCGUAAAGCGCACGUAGGCGGUUCGUUAUGUCGGAUGUGAAAGCCCUUGGCUUAACCGAGGAAGUGCAUCCGAAACUGGCGAGCUAGAGUACUAAAGAGGAUCGCGGAAUUCCCGGUGUAGGGGUGAAAUUCGUAGAUACGUCGGGAAGAACACGGUGGCGAAGGCGGCGAUCUGGGUAGAUACUGACGCUGAGGUGCGAAAGCGUGGGGAGCAAACAGG